rnacentral:rRNA from 1 species
UACGGAGGGUGCGAGCGUUGUUCGGAAUCACUGGGCGUAAAGGGCGUGUAGGCGGUCUGCUAAGUCUGAUGUGAAAGCCCGGGGCUCACCCCCGGAAGGGCAUUGGAAACUGGCGGACUCGAGUCCCGGAGAGGAGGGUGGAAUUCCUGGUGUAGCGGUGAAAUGCGCAGAUAUCAGGAGGAACACCGAUGGCGAAGGCAGCUCGCUGGGACGGUACUGACGCUGAGGCGCGAAAGCGUGGGGAGCGAACAGG